UACGGAGGGUGCGAGCGUUAAUCGGAAUUACUGGGCGUAAAGCGCACGCAGGCGGUUUGUUAAGCUAGAUGUGAAAGCCCCGGGCUCAACCUGGGAUGGUCAUUUAGAACUGGCAGACAAGAGUCUUGGAGAGGGGAGUGGAAUUCCAGGUGUAGCGGUGAAAUGCGUAGAUAUCUGGAGGAACAUCAGUGGCGAAGGCGACUCCCUGGCCAAAGACUGACGCUCAUGUGCGAAAGUGUGGGUAGCGAACGGG
rnacentral:rRNA from 1 species